rnacentral:rRNA from 1 species
GUUAAGCGACUAAGCGUACACGGUGGAUGCCCUGGCAGUCAGAGGCGAUGAAGGACGUGCUAAUCUGCGAUAAGCGUCGGUAAGGUGAUAUGAACCGUUAUAACCGGCGAUUUCCGAAUGGGGAAACCCAGUGUGAUUCGUCACACUAUCAUUAACUGAAUCCAUAGGUUAAUGAGGCGAACCGGGGGAACUGAAACAUCUAAGUACCCCGAGGAAAAGAAAUCAACCGAGAUUCCCCCAGUAGCGGCGAGCGAACGGGGAGCAGCCCAGAGCCUGAAUCAGUGUGUGUGUUAGUGGAAGCGUCUGGAAAGGCGUGCGAUACAGGGUGACAGCCCCGUACACAAAAAUGCACAUACUGUGAGCUCGAUGAGUAGGGCGGGACACGUGGUAUCCUGUCUGAAUAUGGGGGGACCAU